CCUACGGGUGGCAGCAGUCGAGAACCAUUCACAAUGGGGGAAACCCUGAUGGUGCGACGCCGCGUGGGGGAAUGAAGGUCUUCGGAUUGUAAACCCCUGUCAUGUGGGAGCAAAUUAAAAAGAGAGUACCACAAGAGGAAGAGACGGCUAACUCUGUGCCAGCAGCCGCGGUAAUACAGAGGUCUCAAGCGUUGUUCGGAAUCACUGGGCGUAAAGCGUGCGUUGGCGGGUUCGUAAGUAGUGUGUGAAAGGCGCGGGCUCAACCCGCGGACGGGCCAUGAUACUGCGAGACUAGCGUAAUGGAGGGGGAACCGGAAUUCUCGGUGUAGCAGUGA
rnacentral:rRNA from 1 species